GGACGCAUAGCUCAGUUGGUUAGAGCGUUCGGUUCACAUCCGAAAGGUCCCUGGUUCGAGUCCAGGUGCGUCCACCA
rnacentral:tRNA from 2 species